CAAAAUGUAGCUUACUUCUAAAGCACCUAGUUUACACCUAGGAGACUUCAACCCACAAUUGGACAUUUUGAAA
rnacentral:tRNA from 1 species